rnacentral:rRNA from 1 species
UACGAAGGGUGCAAACGUUGCUCGGAAUUAUUGGGCGUAAAGCGCACGUAGGCGGCUCCAAAAGUCGGACGUGAAAUCCCUCGGCUCAACCAAGGAAGUGCACCCGAAACUGCGGAGCUUGAAUAUGGAAGAGGGUCGCGGAAUUCCCGGUGUAGAGGUGAAAUUCGUAGAUAUCGGGAGGAACACCAGUGGCGAAGGCGGCGCCUGGGCCAUAUUGACGCUGAGGUGCGAAAAGCGUGGGGGAGCAAACAGG